GAGAGAGAGAGAGAGAGAGAGGAGGGAGGGGGAAGGAUGGCGUUCAAUUGUUUCCUCCGCACACGCGUACCGCGUAUGCACGUAGGUACGUACCUACGUCCGUUCGUAUAAAGAAGACGACGAAGAUCCUAGUGUGGGCAUCGGCUAUUAAAUCAAUGCGCUGGUGUCAGGAUCUGUUCACGCCUCGCUAAUACACUCGUGGAAUGUCAACGAGGCGACUACCUUGAGAGAAGGAGGCUGUCGCGGCUGCGAUGUAGGAAAUCUCGCGAGCCAUAAGGAUUGCAUCACUCGACUUGAGCAAUAAAAUCCCUGGGAGGAGACGACUGCUUCUUCAAGGUAAAACGUGCCACGAUAUUCGAUUUCGCGAUAAGCAACAACGACACGAGCCUUCGACGCGUAACCGUAGGCGUAGCGAGAAACACCUUCGGAGUCAGUCCGAUACGUUCGAUGAUGAGCAAACACCAAGAUCUCGCUGGAAUCUCACGAACGUUAGAACAAUGUUUUCCAAUGGCUUCUUUGCGUAAUGGACUGUUUCUAAGUGAUAAAACAAUUUGCGGAAGCAACUGAAAGCGCGCACACAAGCGUUAAACAAAUAUAUAAAAUAUAAACAGAAAUUAAUGUGUAAUAAUGAAAAGCCUAAUAUAAGAGUGUUAUACCAUUAAAUAAACUUGAAAUUGCUAUUUAAAGGUCGAUUGCGUAUCAUCCGAUAAGCGAUUUAGCGAUUUAGAUACGUGCGUAUAUCAAAUCGCACAUGUAGUUCUAAUUAGAUAAUCUACUAUUAAUUAAUUUAAUUAGAACAUAAUGUAAAUGUAAUUAAUAAUCCGUAUUGACGUGUGUUUUCGAUCGUUUCUCUGUUGUUUCAGCACGAAUUGUACAAUAUCUUUAUUAACGAUAGAACGAUAGAACAUACCUAUCCCAGAAUAUUAUAAACGUUUAAUGGAUUUCAUCGACGUGCGUCACUAUCUCAAGCAUUUUUUUUUUCCUGCAACGUGCGAUUAUCCCGCAUGUCACUUGGCCGUCACGGCAAUUUCGUCAUAUCGUGCGGUAAUUAUACACGAUGCGACGUACGAGAGAAUAAUCGAGCGAUCGGACGAGGUAUUUCUCGCCGUCGAUCGACAAACAGAGUCCGGACUUCGUUCGUGGAAACGAGAGACAAUCGCGAGGAAAAGGUCUCGGAGAGAUGAAGUGCUAUUCAGGUUCGAUCGAUUAUGCGUGCGAAUACAUAUUUUUCGCCGUUUCCCCACGUCGCUCACGUUGUUCAUUAAGCUCUUAAUUAAUGCAAUGAAAGACUUCAAUACCACCACGCCACGGUUAAGUCGCGCGAAUGAACUUUUACCGUAAUUAUUCAUGGAUACAUCACGGAUGGAAAUGAGAAACGAGAGUAAAAGUGUUCGCCCACGGUGAUUCGAAAAAAAAAA